GACUCGGAGCCAGGCGGACUUGCAGGCAGCGGGGCCACCGCGGCUGCUGGGCGACCUCGGAGCCCUCGAAGCCCUCUGAGCCGCUCGGGCGGGCGCGGCGGUGAGAGCCCGGCGAGGCGGCCUCCUCGGCGAGCCCGGACUAGCAGGUGCCGCUCACGCUGGGCUGAGCGCACGCACACGCACACGCAGACGGGCAGGGCGCGGGCUAGCGGGGACCGCGCGGGGCGGGCCGGAGGCGCGCAGCUGCCGCCGCCGCCGCCGCCGCCGCCGCCUCUGCCGCUGCUGGUACUGCCGCUGGUGCUGAUGCUGCGGGCGCUCCGCCAAAGAAGAACAGCUCAGGGAUGUUCAGCGGAGGCAUCAGAGGGCACACAACUUGCUGCCCACUGCAAAGUUGCCGCUUGCCACUUCCUUAUUAUUCGGUUUUCAUCUCCAGGCUGCAAGUCCAAGGAGAGGAUCGAGGCAGACAAGUGAGUCCAUUGUGUGAGUGUUUGCCCGGCAGCAGGCACCUGGCGACGGUCGAGAGGGGGAGAUGUGCACCACUCACUAGAAGGCUGCCAAAGAUCAGCUACAAGCCAGGCGGCUGAGCAGUGCUUUGGAAGGUGGAAGAAACAAGGAGUUCACCAAGCAUCUGCUGAGGGAUGCCUGUCCCUGGAACAAAGAUGCCAUCAGCCAAUCACUGACUGCUUUGGGAUUCUUCUACUGCUGCCUGUUGCAGAAUCAGCUUUCUGGGCUCUGCAAUGAAUUAAUUUUUCUUCAUCUUUCAUAAACUAUUCUAUCAAACCCGUUUCUCUGUAUUGCUUUGAAUGUGGUUUGCACUAAAUUAGUUGCCAACGUCUGUAUUAUAAAAUAAAAAAUAAAUACAGUUUGUUGUCUCUCA
rnacentral:lncRNA from 1 species